rnacentral:tRNA from 1 species
AUUUAAGUAGUUUAAUUAAAAAUUUCAGUUUGUGGAUCUGAAGAUACAUUUAUGUCUUAAAUU